UCCAUGAAUCUCAAAUUUCUUUUUUUCUUGUGUUCUACGUUUUCUGUUUUCCUUGAAGCACUCCUUUCCAGAUUUUCUUGAAUCCACUGAUGAACUUGUUGUUUGCCAAUGUGAGAAUCCAUAAUCUUAGCAUCCUCGAAAUAAAAAGAACUCAUUGAGGACUUCAAAAGAGAUCGCUUUGUAUAUAAUAAAUUUCAGGCUAGUAACAUGUGUAUGUUGCUGUGAGCGCGAACUAGGAAGGCUAAGCAGAUGAGUGCAAAGUGCUGAAUGG
rnacentral:lncRNA from 1 species